rnacentral:rRNA from 1 species
GUUGAACGCUGGCGGCAGGCCUAACACAUGCAAGUCGAACGGUAACAGGAGGAGGCUUGCUGCCUUGCUGUAGAGUGGCGGACGGGUGUGAAAUGUCUGGAACACUGCUAGAAGGCGGGGGAUAACUACUGGAAACGGUACCAAAUACGGCAUAUAGUAUCAAGCCCAUAGUGCGGGACUUUAGGGCCUUCUGCCUUUGGCUGUUACAAGAUGCCGCUCUGGAUUAGCUAGGGGGUAGGGUAACGGCUUACCUAGGCGACGAUUCAUAGCCGAUCUGAGAGGAUGACCGGCCACACUGGAACUGAGACACGGUCCAGACUCCUACGGGAGGCAGCAGUAGGGAAUAUUGCGCAAUGGGCGCAAGCCUGAUGGAGCCAUGCCGCGUGUAUGAAGAAGGUCUUCGGGUUGUAAAGUUCUUUCAGCAGGGAGGAAGGGAUGAGAAUGAAUAUCUGCACACAUUGACGGUACCCGCAGAGAAAGCACCGGCUAACUCCGUG